rnacentral:lncRNA from 10 species
UUUAUUUUUGUGGGUGAUAGUAGGUAUACGUAUUUGUGGGGUACGUGAGAUGUUUUGAUACAGGCAUGCAAUGUGAAAUAAUCACAUCAUAGAGAAUGAAGUAUCCAUCCCUUCAAGUAUUUAUCCCUUGUGUUACAAUCCAAUUACACUCUUUUAGUUAUUUUAAAAUGUAUAACUGGCCAGGGGCAGUGGCUCAUGCCUGUAAUCCCAGCACUUUGGGA